GGCAUAGGUGGCGAACGUUAUCCGGAAUUAUUGGGCGUAAAGGGUGUGUAGGCGGGCUAUUAAGUCAGUGGUGAAAUCUCCGGGCUCAACCUGGAAACUGCCAUUGAUACUAUUAGUCUUGAAUUCUGUUGAGGUAGGCGGAAUAAGUCAUGUAGCGGUGAAAUGCAUAGAUAUGACUUAGAACACCAAUUGCGAAGGCAGCUUACUAAGCAGAUAUUGACGCUGAGGUGCGAAAGCGUGGGGAGCAAACAGG
rnacentral:rRNA from 1 species